rnacentral:rRNA from 1 species
ACUCCUACGGGAGGCAGCAGUGGGGAAUAUUGCACAAUGGGCGCAAGCCUGAUGCAGCCAUGCCGCGUGUAUGAAGAAGGCCUUCGGGUUGUAAAGUACUUUCAGCAGUGAGGAAGGUGGAUGUCGUUAAUAGCGUAUCAUUGACGUUAGCUGCAGAAGAAGACACCGGCUAACUCCGUGCCAGCAGCCGCGGUAAUACGGAGGGUGCGAGCGUUAAUCGGAAUUACUGGGCGUAAAGCGCAUGCAGGUGGUUUGUU